GUCUUCGUGGUGUAACAGUAGCACACUCGGCUCAUACUCGAGAGGUCCAGGUUCAAGUCUCGGUGAGGACA
rnacentral:tRNA from 1 species